rnacentral:rRNA from 1 species
UCGCCAGAAUACUACAAGCAACAGCUUAAAACUCAAAGGACUUGACGGUGCUUUACAUCCCCCUAGAGGAGCCUGUUCCGUAAUCGAUAAACCCCGAUCCACCCUACCCUCUCUUGCUCAGCCUAUAUACCGCCAUCUUCAGCAAACCCUAACAAAGGUCACAAAGUGAGCGCAAACGCCACCACCGCGAAGACGUUAGGUCAAGGUGUAGCCUAUGAGACGGUAAAAAAUGGGCUACAUUUUCUGUCUCAGAAAAUUCUACGAAAACCCUUAUGAAAUCUAAGGGUCCAAGGAGGAUUUAGCAGUAAAUUAAGAAUAGAGUGCUUAAUUGAACCAGGCCAUAAAGUGCGCACACACCGCCCGUCACUCCUCUCAAAUAUAUUUAAGGAAUAUUCUAACUAAACGCCCAAAUAUUUAUAUAGAGAGGAUAAGUCGUAACAUGGUAAGCGUACUGGAAGGUGCGCUUGGACAAAUCAAGGCAUAGCUUAAUAUAAAGCACCUGGCCUACACCCAGAAGACCUCAACACCACUUGAUUGCCUUGAGCUAACACUAGCCCUAAACAUUACCAAUACUAAUACCAAGCCAACACACACUAAACCAUUCACCCGCACAAAGUAUAGGCGAUAGAAAUUCUAAUCUGGCGCUAUAGACGUAGUACCGUAAGGGAAAGACACAAAACCACCCAAGCACAAAACAGCAAGGACUAACUCCUGUACCUUUCGCAUAAUGGAUUAGCUAGAAACAAUUUCACAAAGAGAACUACAAGCCAAAUUCCCCGAAACCAGACGAGCUACCCAAGAACAGCUAAAAGAGCACACCCGUCCAUGUGGCAAAAUGGUGGGAAGAUUUUUGGGUAGAGGUGACAAGCCUACCGAGCCUGGUGAUAGCUGGUUAUCCAAGACAGAAUCUUAGUUCAACCUUAAGCUUACCUACAGAACUACCUAAUCCCCCUGUAAACUUAAUUGUUAGUCUAAAGAGGGACAGCUCUUUAGACACUAGGAAAAAACCUUAUAGAGAGAGUAAAACCCCACAACUACCAUAGUUGGCCUAAAAGCAGCCAUCAAUUAAGAAAGCGUUCAAGCUCAACACUAAUCAUCUUAAAAAUACCAAACACUUAACUGAACUCCUCACACCACAUUGGAUUAAUCUAUCACCGUAUAGAAGCAAUAAUGCUAGUAUAAGUAACAUGAAUAUUUUCUCCACUGCAUAAGCCUAAAUCGGACCGAAAACCUCACCGGUACCUAACAGCCAGGCAUAACAAGCAUAAACAAGCCCAUGCCUACCUUCACUGUUAACCCAACACAGGCAUGCCCCAAGGAAAGGUUAAAAAAAGUAAAAGGAACUCGGCAAACUCAAACCCCGCCUGUUUACCAAAAACAUCACCUCUAGCAUUAC